CUGACUGAGAAGGGCACAGGAGAACCACCAAGGUAAACAUCAGGACAGGCUUCCUGUCUCAAGUCUCCCAAAUGCUGGAAUUACAGGUGUGAGCUACCACACCUUGCAGAUAGGUGCUGGUCUCGGGUCUCUUAGCCAGAACUCAGCUCAUCAAUCAGGCUAAGCAGCAAGCGCUUCCCACCUGCUGAGCUACCUCGCAGGCCCAAGACAGGAAUUUUUUGAGCAUAAUUUAAAAGGAAGUCUAAGAGCCAAGACUGGGA